CCUACGGGCGGCAGCAGUGAGGAAUAUUGCUCAAUGGGCGCGAGCCUGAUCCAGCCAAGUCGCGUGAAGGAUGACUGCCCUACGGUUUGUAACCUUCUUUUAUAAAGGAAUAGAGUGAUUCACGUUUGCCUUUUUGUAUGUACUUUCUGAAUAAGGGUCGGCUAACUCCGUGCCAGCAGCCGCGGUAAUACGGAGGGUCCGUGCUUUGUCAGGAUUUAUUGGGUUUAAAGGGAGGGUAGAGGGGUUGUUAAGUGAGUUGUGAAAGUUUGCGGUUCAACCGUAAAAUUGCAAUUGAUACUGGCAGCCUAGAGUACAGUAGGGGUGGGCGGAAUUCGUGGUGUAGCGGUGAAAUGCUUAGAUAUCACGAAGAACUCCGAUUGCGAAGGCAGUUCACUGGACUGCAACUGACACUGAGGCGCGAAAGUGUGGGUAUCAAACAGGAUUAGAUACCCGAGUAGUC
rnacentral:rRNA from 1 species